rnacentral:rRNA from 1 species
GGUUUGAUCAUGGCUCAGAUUAACGCUGGGUGAUGUUUUUGUACAUGCAAGUCGAACGGCAGCACGUGACUUCGGUCUGGUGGCGAGUGGUUAACGGGUAGAGUAAUGUAUCGGAACGUGCCUAGUAGGGGGAUAACUACGCGAAAGCGUAGCUAAUACCGCAUACCAGCCCUUCGGGGGAAAGCGGGGACCUUCGGGCCUCGUGACUAUUAGAGCGGCCGAUAUCGAUUAGCUAUUGGUAAGUAACGCUCACCAAGGCGACGAUCCGUAGCUGGUUUGAGAGACGACCAGCCACUGGGGACUGAGACACGGCCCAGAUCUUUACGGGAGGCAGCAGUGGGGAAUUUGACAAUGGGGAAAUUCCCGAUCCAGCCAUCUCAAGUGUGUGCGAUGAAGGCCUUCGGUUAGGAAGCACUUUUAUGUGGAAAAAGAAAACGGCACGGGAUAAUACCCUGUGCAACUGACGGUACCUGCAGAAGAAGCACCCGGCUAACUACGCCAGCAGCCGCGGUAAUACGUAGGGUGCAAGCGUUAAUCGGAAUUACUGGGCGUAAAGCGUGCGCAGGCGGCCUGGAAAGAAAGAUGCAAAUCCCCAGAGCUUAACUUUGGAACUGCAUUUUUAACUACUGAGCUAGAGGUGUCAGAGGGAGGUGGAAAUUCGCGUGUAGCAGGAAUGUGUAGAUAUGCGGAGGAACACCGAUGGCGAAGGCAGCCUCCUGGGAUAACACUGACGCUCAUGCACGAAAGCGCGGGAGCAAACAGGAUUAUAUACCCUGGUAGUCCACGCCCUAAACGAUGUCAACUAGCUGCUGGGGCCUUCGGGCCUUGGUAGCGCAGCUAACGCGCAGUCGACGGCCUGGGGAGUACGGUCGCAAGAGAUUAAAACUCGAAUGAUUGGACUCGUACAAGCAGAGAUGAUGGGAUUAAUUCGAUGCAACGCGAAAACCUUACCUACCCUUGAUAUGUUCCGGAAUCCCGAAGAGAUUUGGGAGUGCUCGCAAGAGAAACCGGAACACAGGUGCUGCAUGGCUGUCGUCAGCUCGUGUCGUGAGAUGUUGGGUUAAGUCCCGCAACGAGCGCAACCCGUCAGCUAUUGCUACGAAAGGGCACUCGACGAGACUGCCGGUGACAAACCGAGAAGUGUGGGGAUGACGUCAAGUCCUCAUGGCCCUUGCGGUAGGGCUUCACACGCUAUACAAUGGUCGGGACAGAGGGUCGCCAACCUGCUAGAGGGAGCCAAUCCCAGAAACCUGAUCGUAGUCCGGAUCGCAGUCUGCAACUCGACUGCGUGAAGUCGGAAUCGCUAGUAAUCGCGGAUCAGCAUGUCGCGUGAAUACGUUCCUGGUCUUGUACACACCGCCCGUCACACCAUGGGAAGUGGGUUUUACCAGAAGUAGUUAGCCUAACCGCGAGGGCGAUUACCACGGUAGGAUUCAUGACUGGGGUGAAGUCGUAACAAGGUAACCCCAGCAUACCUGAUGCCCUGCG